UACGGAGGGUGCAAGCGUUAUCCGGAUUCACUGGGUUUAAAGGGUGCGUAGGAGGGCAGGUAAGUCAGUGGUGAAAUCCCCGAGCUUAACUUGGGAACUGCCAUUGAUACUAUCAGUCUUGAAUAUUGUGGAGGUUAGCGGAAUAUGUCAUGUAGCGGUGAAAUGCUUAGAUAUGACAUAGAACACCAAUUGCGAAGGCAGCUUACUACACAGUUAUUGACACUGAGGCACGAAAGCGUGGGGAUCAAACAGG
rnacentral:rRNA from 1 species